UACAGAGGUCUCAAGCGUUGUUCGGAUUCAUUGGGCGUAAAGGGUGCGUAGGUGGCGCCGUAAGUCGGGUGUGAAAUUUCGGAGCUUAACUCCGAAACUGCAUUCGAUACUGCGGUGCUUGAGGACUGGAGAGGAGACUGGAAUUCAUGGUGUAGCAGUGAAAUGCGUAGAGAUCAUGAGGAAGACCAGUGGCGAAGGCGGGUCUCUGGACAGUUCCUGACACUGAGACACGAAGGCUAGGGGAGCAAACGGG
rnacentral:rRNA from 1 species